rfam:Nomascus leucogenys chromosome 11, whole genome shotgun sequence.
UCCAGGCAUGGUGGUGUGUACCUGUAGUCCCAGCUACUAGGGAGGUUGAAGUGGGAGGAUUGCUUGAGUCCAGGAAUUCUGGGCUGUAGUGCACUAAACCGAACAGGUGUCUGCAUUAAGUUUGGCAUCAAUACAGUGACCUCCCAGGAGUGAGGGACCACCAGGUUGCCUAAGGAGGAGUGAACCAGAGCAGGUCAGAACUCCCGUUUUGAGCAUUCGUAGGAUCAUGCCUGUGAAUAGCCACUGCACUCCUGUCUGGUUAACAUAGCAAGACCCUUGCCUCUU